rnacentral:rRNA from 1 species
UACGGAGGGUGCAAGCGUUAUCCGGAUUCACUGGGUUUAAAGGGUGCGUAGGUGGGCAGUUAAGUCAGUGGUGAAAUCUCCGGGCUUAACCCGGAAACUGCCCAUUGAUACUAUCUGUCUUGAAUGUCGUGGAGGUAAGCGGAAUAUGUCAUGUAGCGGUGAAAUGCUUAGAUAUGACAUAGAACACCCAAUUGCGAAGGCAGCUCACUACACGAAUAUUGACACUGAGGGCACGGAAAGCCGUGGGGGAUCAAAACC